rnacentral:lncRNA from 1 species
UGCUAUCAAAACUACAGGAACACUUUUUCCUUACCAGCAUUACAAAUUCAUUCAUCUUUUAGGUGGAGGAGAUCCUUUCAGAUAAAUUUGUGGAAAACCAGAAAGAUUUUCAGAAUGUUUUGCAGUCCUGUGAUCCUGAGUGUACAGGCACAAUGAAUAGAAGUCCUACAGCUUCUACAGCUACAGUUGUGUUGUCCCUCUUUGCCAGAUCAACAGUUUGGGAGGCAAGUUGAUGGUGUGUGAAUUGUAACAGGUUUAAGUGCAAUGCCAAGUGCAAGGCAGCCCUGCCUCCAAUGCUAUAAAUAAGAAGCAGCUCUGCAAGUCAGGAAGAUGCUGUGUGCUGCAAGCAGAAAUUAUACAGUGUGGCUCAAAGAUGCAAAAUACUCCUGAAGCAGCUGGAGAGUAAUUAAAUCAAUGGAGAAGACAUGCCAGGAUGCCCAGUUCUGAUUUUAAUACUUUGAAAUUUGUCAUCUGCAGCUUUGUCUGGGAACAAGUUCACUGUUUAAUCACUCAUGGUCUGCAAAAGGGUAAAUUCAGGGAUUACCUCCAAGAUUUCAAUAAUGCCUUCCAUAAAGGAUAAAAAUAGAGAUGGCUAUGUAAAAAUGUGUGGCCUGCACAAGACAUUACAAGAAUUCAAGCCUUAUCUUGAUGAUAAUGAUUUCAGCAGUUUUCUAAACAGCUUAGGAAUCAGCAUUCAUGACAGCAAGCUCUCUUAUUUUGAUUUCCUGAGAGCAAUUGAGGAUGGCAGAGCAUCUGAAUACCAGCAGAAACAAAAGCAGGCUGUACCACCUGCAAGCUUUGCAGAGCUCAGCGUACAACAAACCCUAAUAAAGAUAAAGGAAACAGUUACAUCAUCUUAG